AUGGAUUUACUAAUGUCUUUUGUUGUUGUUGUUUUGAUUUGGCUUGGUGGUUGUUUUUGUUUAUUUGUUUAUUUGUUUUUCAGAAGAAUGAAAGCUGGAAAAAAGCCAAAAAAAGGUUGUAAUAGAGAGGGGUGCGAGAGUGUGUGGUGCUUUCCUAACGAUGCUGGGUACCCUACCUUACUUUCUGACUCAGUACAAUGAAGACAUUACAAGCAGUAAUCUAGGUAUUUGCAGCAGGAACACUCUCCCCAGCCAAUUUACCAUACAGCCCCACAGAUGUGCAACGCCCAAAGCAAAGAAGGAACUGAGAGGAUUGGGGUAGGAUGAGUUACAGCUGCAUACAUCCCUUCCAGUGGUAGCAUCACCAGGUGUCCAGCUGCAGCCUGACUGUGGUACCCAUAUGACUUGAGUAUCUUCCAUGCACCACCUCUCUAGCAAAAACAAGCUACAGUGGUAAAACUGUGAUUAUCAUGAAAGAAUGGUAAGUGUUUGCUUGUAAAAAAAUCAAAUAAUUUACUGCCUUGCAGUCUUCUGGUGGACUCUUAUUUCUCUAUUUUUAACUCUAAAGUCCUCUUAUAUCAGUCCCUUCUCAGUAAAGCAUUUGUUCAUGCGCUGCACCUUUUUAAUGAGGCUGAAUAAAGCUAAUCUUUUAACUUUUACA
rnacentral:lncRNA from 1 species